rnacentral:rRNA from 1 species
AGAAAAAAGCCGUGACUAAUAAUCAUGGUUCAUGACGGUAUCAACAGAAGAAGCACCGGCUAACUACGUGCCAGCAGCCGCGGUAAUACGUAGGGUGCAAGCGUUAAUCGGAAUUACUGGGCGUAAAGGGUGCGCAGGCGGUUCUGUAAGUCAGAUGUGAAAAUCCCCGGGCUUAACCUGGGAACUGCGUUUGAAACUGCAGAGCUAGAGUGCGGCAGAGGGAGGUGGAAUUCCAUGUGUAGCAGUGAAAUGCGUAGAGAUAUGGAAGAACAUCGAUGGCGAAGGCAACCUCCUGGCUAGCACUGACGCUCAUGCACGAAAAGCGUGGGGAGCAAACAGGAUUAGAUACCCUGGUAGUCCACGCCCUAAACCUAUGUCAACUAGUUGUCGGGCCUUAAUAGG